rnacentral:misc_RNA from 1 species
GAUGAAGAACGUAGUGAAUUGCGAUAAGUAAUGUGAAUUGCAGAAUUCAGUGAAUCAUCGAAUCUUUGAACGCACAUUGCGCCCGCCAGUAUUCUGGCGGGCAUGCCUGUUCGAGCGUCAUUUCAACCCUCAAGCACAGCUUGGUGUUGGGACUCGCGUUAAUUCGCGUUCCCCAAAUUGAUUGGCGGUCACGUCGAGCUUCCAUAGCGUAGUAGUAAAACCCUCGUUACUGGUAAUCGUCGCGGCCACGCCGUUAAACCCCAACUUCUGAAUGUUGACCUCGGAUCAGGUAGGAAUACCCGCUGAACUUAAGCAUAUCAAUAAGCGGAGGA